UUUUAAGUAAUAUGUGGUAACGAAAUCUGUGAUUUAGUACUUUACCCGUAAUACAUAAAGAAAUUUCGCUAUUUGAAAUCCAAAACGCCAAUACAGACACGGGCAUAGCGAACAAGUUGGAAUACAUAAACACCACAGCGAUGCUAAAGGAAUAUCAUUGCCUAAAAAAGGAACCACAAAGUGGAAAGGGAUUAAUAUAAGUCGCAAAACUUGUUUCCCAAUCCACUAUAAAUAAAUAUGUUUAAACUAAAAGGAAAAUAAAUAAACUAACUUUGAGUAGCUGCACGUACUCUAAGAUAGGUACUUUGUGUCUUUUGUCUACGUUAAUUGUUUUAAUUAUGCUUCGUGCCGAUCUGAUGAAUCCAUCCAUUUUUUACAAUAGUUCUUAUACAUGCUUGUACACCAUUGUCUCAGGUUGAGGGAGGAUUGAGAGCUCUAAAACAUGUUUAACCCCGCCACAUACUGUAUGUUCUUGUAAUAAGUCAGGAGCCGGUUAUGCAGUGUGUGUCGUUAGUUGCUGUAUUUUAUAUCUUUUUUUCGAUUAUCGUUUGUUGUACAUUAGACUGUCGUUUUUGUAUCGUUUGAAUCGUUUCAUCUUUUGCCAAGUCGGGUCUUUUUAUAGCUGAAUGUAUACUAUAUUAGUUUUGCUCAUUGUUGAAGGCCGUUUGUUGGCACUACUAAAAUUAAUGUCAAAUUAUAACUUUGUUGGAUAGUUAUUACGAUAGCAAUUAUAUCCAUUAUCCUAAUUUUAUAUCAUUUACGAAAUGUCAGUGUCAGCAAUUAUAGGGCUUAUUCCAUCUUUUUAAAAAUAUGAUAGACAAUGAGAAAACUUUCCACCAAAGUUAUAAUAUUUUUUUUUUAAGUGGUUGUAAGCAAUCAUAGGCAACCUGUCAUAAGUAUAUGCCAAUGUUUCUUGGUUGUUUAUUUAAACUGCAUAUUUCAUUGUUUUUGUAAUUGAGAAAUG
rnacentral:lncRNA from 1 species